rnacentral:rRNA from 1 species
CCUACGGGGGGCAGCAGUCGAGAAUUAUUCACAAUGGGGGAAACCCUGAUGGUGCGACGCCGCGUGGGGGAAUGAAGGUCUUCGGAUUGUAAACCCCUGUCAUGUGGGAGCAAAUUAAAAAGAUAGUACCACAAGAGGAAGAGACGGCUAACUCUGUGCCAGCAGCCGCGGUAAUACAGAGGUCUCAAGCGUUGUUCGGAAUCACUGGGCGUAAAGCGUGCGUAGGCUGUUUCGUAAGUCGUGUGUGAAAGGCGCGGGCUCAACCCGCGGACGGCACAUGAUAUUGCGAGACUAGAGUAAGGGAGGGGGAACCGGAAUUCUCGGUGUAGCAGGGAAAUGCGUAGAUAUCGAGAGGAACACUCGUGGCGAAGGCGGGUUCCUGGACAUUAACUGACGCUGAGGCACGAAGGCCAGGGGAGCGAAAGGGAUUAGAUACCCUUGUAGUC